GACGAACGCUGGCGGCGUGCCUAAUACAUGCAAGUAGAACGCACAGUUUAUACCGUAGCUUGCUACACCAUAGACUGUGAGUUGCGAACGGGUGAGUAACGCGUAGGUAACCUGCCUGGUAGCGGGGGAUAACUAUUGGAAACGAUAGCUAAUACCGCAUAAUAUUGAUUAUUGCAUGAUAAUUGAUUGAAAGAUGCUAUUGCAUCACUACCAGAUGGACCUGCGUUGUAUUAGCUAGUAGGUGAGGUAACGGCUCACCUAGGCGACGAUACAUAGCCGACCUGAGAGGGUGAUCGGCCACACUGGGACUGAGACACGGCCCAGACUCCUACGGGAGGCAGCAGUAGGGAAUCUUCGGCAAUAGACGAAAGUCUGACCGAGCAACGCCGCGUGAGUGAAGAAGGUUUUCGGAUCGUAAAGCUCUGUUGUAAGAGAAGAACGGGUGUGAGAGUGGAAAGUUCACACUGUGACGGUAUCUUACCAGAAAGGGACGGCUAACUACGUG
rnacentral:rRNA from 1 species